GCCACAUGAUGAUAUCAAGGCUGUGGUGAUUCAGUUGGUUUGGCUAAGCCCGGGGACCUCUGACCUAUAGGUCUGUAAUCUUGGUGGGCAAUACAGAGUUAAUGUGUGUUCACUGUAAGGGCAGACCAACAAUAAAUUCUUCCCACUCUUGAACUGCCUCUCUUCAAUAGAUGCAGUUCUUCCUGUUACCAGAGAGAAAUUGGGAUAACUGGAGUGAGAGAGUAGGGAUAGGGCAUGUUCAGGAUAUCAGGGUCAGGGGUCCCAGAGGACUUAGCUUGUGUUGUAGCCACUGAGAGAUGAAACACAGAUCUUUGGUAAUCUGAUGGCU